rfam:Octopus bimaculoides Scaffold174309_contig_20, whole genome shotgun sequence.
GAUGAGGUGGCUGAGUGGUUAAAGUGAUGGACUUCUAAUCCAUUGGGGUCCCCCUGCAUGAGUUUGAAUCUCACCCUUGUUA